rnacentral:lncRNA from 10 species
AUCGCGGGAAGAGGAAGGGAGCGUAACUCUUAGAAGUCACUAUGGUGACGGGGAGGUACCAGGUAUUUGAGAGCAAUCGCCACCGCUUUCCUGGAACUUGAGUAAAUACAAUCAAGUGGCAUCUUAAAUUUUUGCUGGAAGUGGAGUCAUGAGACUAAAGAUAUCUCUUUUAAAAGAACCAAAGCAUAUCCUUUUAAUGCUUAUAAAUCUUAUUGGAUUUUCUUAAUUAUAGUAUUGUUAAAAGUUUCUCUAUUUUAUAUCCUAGUUGAAGAAUAGAUUUUUUUUUUCAUUCCUUUAGUGGCUGUUUACCUAAAUUGUUUUAAAGUAUUUAAGAUCAUGUGUUGUAAGUAAUUCUCCAAAGUGAACCGUUUGCUAUAAAUCUUAUUUUAAAAUUCUUACUGACGUUUUUCUUACUCUACUUAAGUACUAUACUUAAAUACUUAAAAAGCAGUUUUUGUUUACUUUAGUAGGAUCUUAAAAAGAAGCUUUUUUUUUUUUUUUUUGAGACAGAGUCUCACUCUGUCACCCAGGCUGGAGUACAGUGGUGUGAUCUCAACUCACUGCAACCCUCUACCUCCUGGGUUCAAGUGAUUCUCCUGCCUCAGCCUCCUGAGCAGCUCAGAUUAUAGGCACCCGCCAACAUGCCCGGCUAAUUUUUGUAUUUUUAGUAGAGACGGGGUUUCACCAUGUUGGCCAGGCUGGUCUCGAACUCUCGACCUCAGGUGAUCCACCCGCCCCAGCCUCCCAAAGUGCUGGGAUUACAG